GUUUAUUACUUUAACUAAGCUUUAAUAAAAAUAUAAGAAAAGGAUUAUUAUUUGAGAAUCAUUAUUUUAAAUCUUUGUGGGUUUAUAGAAAUAAAUAAUUUGAGUGAAAGAAAAAAAAAAGAAAAAGAAACCCUCUUGCGUGGCAUAUUUGGGAAAUGCCAAAACCUUGCUUUUUUGUCAAACUCUCAUUUUCCUUCAACAACAUGGAACCCAAACCCCAAAAUCUCUUCAUUUCUAUCAUCUCCAUUCUGUCCAUCGAAUUCAAGCAACAUACUCUCAUUUUUUAGUCUUUGUUCCUUCAUCAAAGUUGUAGAUCUCUUCGAGUUAUUGAAUUUAGGAUCAAAAUCUUCUUCAAUCGAAGUUCAGAGCUAGGAGUUAUGAUCUCUGGAAGUUGUAGUUGUUGCUGCCACUGUUGCAGCGUUUUCUCUCUCUCCUCUUCUUCGUGGAUGUUGCUGCCACGAAUUUUGGUUGGUGGUGUUGCUGGUCGUCAGUAGUACCAUGGUUGUUGAUAUUAAGUUGUUCUUCCCGUUUGCAAGAUCUUGAUUUUUAUUUUAAAAGCAAACCAAUUUUGGUUUGAGGAGAUGUAUGUUCGGGUUUCGGAAUGAAUCAAGAGGAAGAGGUUUCAAUUAAGAGAUCAGAUGGAAAUUAAAUUAGUGAUUCGAAGUUAUUUUAGAAUAUAUGUUGAAUAUUAAGUUCUCAUUUGAUGUUUAAGUAUUAUAUUGUUUUGGGAAUCGAGUAAGGUAUUAUGUAAUCUGUUAUUGGUUUUGAAGAUGAUUUGUUGUGGGCCCUGACCCACAGGUCUAGGAUCGUGUAAAUAGGUUAUGUUUCCGCUGCGAGUAAAUAUAUAAUUCGAGGUUUAUUAA